rnacentral:lncRNA from 1 species
GUCGCCAGGGGUCAUGAGGGUCUCAGGGGCCCCGCUGGCUGUGCAGAGCAGCUGAAGCAGGCAUGGGCAACGUUUUGGAUGGCAUCAUCAGGCUCCGCCUCUCUGACAUCACCGGCCACAACCACCACUGGCUACGCAACAAGUUCUUCUAGUUUGCCGUCGUCUUCCAUUGAGACUUUGCAAUGAGAAUGUCGGACAUUGCAAAUACUGAAACGAUGAAGGUUUCCGAGGCGGCUGAAAGGCUGACAUCUGCGAAAGACAACGCCAGCAACUCUGAGGCGUCAGAGCCGAGCCAAAGCUGCAGGGACGAACACGAUGGCAGCAGCAACAAGCAGUCCAGCACCAGGCUAAAGCUCGUGCGGAGUUUGGCAGUGUGCGAAGAAUCCUUGCCCUGCCCCAUUCCCGAGCCUCCGGCAGCACCGCAGGUAACGCUCCCCGCCCACAGCCUGAGUGUUUUUUGACCUUGUGUAGUGCUAAACCUGCUGGUGGAAACCAAUUCCAUCCGAACAUUACAAUCAGUGCACGGAAAGUUAUUAUAAUCAGAAGGGGUGGGGCUUUAAUUGGGCUGUUCUUCCUUCUGUUAUUGAGCUCUAAUUUUGCAUUAAUGCAAGCGUGGCAUCCCAUAAUCUGUGCUCAAACACUACUAAGCUGGUUACUAUGGAGGUUCUGAUGAGAAGCCAAGUCUGCAGAAACAGAAACCUGCCAAAAAUCUUAGGAGAUCUUCUUUAUUCAGAUUUUUGAUUGCAAGUUUAACUGUUAAAAAAAAAAAAGUUUUUAAAUGCAUUCUUGAAAUUUUAAAGAUUAAAAUCAGCUUUCCUUCAGUUUUUAUUGUAGUAAUUCCACAUAUUACUAGACGUUUUAUUU